UCGAAAUUGCAAUCUACUAGUAUAAAUAUAUUGAUGGAACUCCAUUAAGCACUGAAGAAAGUAUAAAAGCUACUAAAAAGGAAAUGAACAACAAAAUUUUGAAGAAAACAGAAGAUAGCUGUCUUUAUUGAACAUGGGAGGGUGAGAAAUGGAAAGACAGUGAAAUAGAUUAACUUUCCAAUCACAAUAUUAUCUGUUUAAAAUUAUUAGGUCAAUAUCCUAAGUUGCUCUAUAAACUAUGAUGUACUGGACUUGGGUGCCACGCAAAUGUCCAAGAUAACCAGACAGAAAGGAAGGGUAUGCUGAAAAAGUUAUCAUCCAAUGCAAAAUUAAUUAGUUCUGGUUUAUUUUAAUCCCUCUAAAAUUAAUAAACAGUAAAUCAGAUCAGAAAGAAAGGGUAUGGUGAACAAGAUGCAGCAAGAUAUCUUUCUCCAGCUCAUUAGUGAAUCAGUAAGGAGAAUGCAGACAAGAGCUUGAAAGAAAGUACCUGCUUCAAGGGAAGAACAAGGAAACUUAUAAUGGCAGAAAAUAUGCAGCAAGAAAAGUGGAAAAAAACACAUAAGAGGGUACAUUUUUGAAUGACAUGCAUACCUUACUUUUUCUUUGAAAUAAGUAGGAUAUGGUGGUAUUUAA